rnacentral:rRNA from 1 species
CCUGAUGGAGGGGGAUAACUACUGGAAACAGGUGCUAAUACCGCAUAACAGUUUAUGCCGCAUGGCAUAAGAGUGAAAGGCGCUUUCGGGUGUCGCUGAUGGAUGGACCCGCGGUGCAUUAGCUAGUUGGUGAGGUAACGGCUCACCAAGGCCACGAUGCAUAGCCGACCUGAGAGGGUGAUCGGCCACACUGGGACUGAGACACGGCCCAG